UUUCAAUCAUAUUCAUAAAUAAUAUGUGUGAAUAUGUCUCUUGUGUAUUGUUAUUUUGCGGCUGUUGUGCGGUUGAAGAAUUGCCACGGUUGUAACUGGGUUCACAGUUGGUGUUUCUGUAUUUUGGUAGCUGCAUUACAGUUUCCUACUUCAUAGGUAAUUAGGUUGUUGAGGCCUGCGGCACUAGGUGGCGCUAGUAUCGCACCUUAAUAAUUAUGUUAUUAAACAUUUCGGAAUAUCACAACUAGAUGGCGCUCGUUCAUUAAUUUGAGCUGCAAAACUGUAACUACUGUUUUCUUGCCGGGAUUUUAAUUCUGUUUCCUUCGAAUUAUAGAAAAAGAAUUGUUAAUUGGACUAUAUAUUGAGGCAUUCUAAGGUUGAAAAGUGUCAUGAAAUCGUUUUCAAAUUCCAGCAAUUUUUGUCAUUUUUGAAAACUUAUGGUGGAAAACGGUCUCUAUUUCGUGUUUCCUUGGCUCGAUUUUAAUUUUUUUUUAAUCAUAGAAGACGAGUUGUCGAGAAGUGGCGCAAAUUUUGUUUAUUUUCGAUUAAUAGUGGUUGUAAGAUUUUCAGUUAUGGUGCCGUAGAAGUUUUACCAAGUACUUUAGUAGUGUUAAAACUGGCACUGCUAUGCAUUUAUAGUUUAGAUACGAUAAAUAUUUGUAUGUACACAAUUUUUUGUUGCAGUCUACGAGCGUAUCGCAAGAUUGAUAGUGACCGCGUGUUGUUGCCGUUGGCUGUGUGCAGUGCCGUGCACAUCCAGUUCCAUUUCGGUCACCGAAUGAAUCGCGCGUGUUCAUUCCGAUAAAUUCUGUCUCUUCAGAUUAUAAUUAAGUGAAUUUAUAUUCAUUAAACAUUCGCGGACAUAUCUGACAUAUCGAUCGUGAGCUGCGGCGUGGUGCAUUAUCGCAUUUCUUGUGAUUUUAAGUCCGUACUUGAAUUAGAAACGGUCAACAAAGAAAAGAUUUAGAAUUACCAGACAAGUGCGGCGUAUAGUUAUUGAGAUAUCGUUUAACGUUUUAACGAGACCUUACGGAUAUCUUGGACCAGGUGUGCAUUCCAUGUUUCUUCCAGAAGGAUUCAAUAGAAAAUGGUAAUUUCCGGUAAAGCAAGAAACAUCUUCAUCGAUUUCAAUGAUUCUAUCAAAUUUUGACUGGCCAAGAGGUAUAAUUUAUUUAUUUUAUUUUGCACGGUGUAGUAUUGCAAUUAUAACACUGUAACACUGAAAUGGAAAUAUGUAUAAGUUUACUGACAUUUUAACGUAUUUUAUAAAGUGGAAAGUACGCUUUACAAACAACAUGUGUGUUAACUAAGCCUCAGUAGGUUGACACAAUCGACACAAUUAUACAUAAAAUAUAAUACAUAAAACAUAAUAAAUAUAUAAAGUUUUACAUUUGCCUUUAUUAAAAUAAUGUUAUAACUUAUAUAAUUAUUUAUUUCAAUUUUACAAUGUGUAGUGUUACAAAUAUAUCACUGUAGUACUGAAAUGGAAAUAAGUAUAAGUUUACUGGCAUAUUAACGUGUUUUAUAAAGUGUAAAAUACGCUUUACAAACAACAUGUGUGUUAACGAAGCCUCGGUGGGUUGACACCAUGGGCACAUAAAACAUAAUACAUUAAACAACAUAAAAACAUAAUACAUAAAAUAUAAUACAUUAAACAUAAAUAUAUAUAGUUUUACAUUUGUUUUUAUUAAAUUAAUGUAGUAACUCGAAGCUCAAGCUCAAAAAACUAGAAAUUUAGAAAUUGCAUUUUAAAACUCGGAUUUUUAGAUUUACCUUUUUAUUGGGGAAUUCCAUGGAUUUGGACGCAGCAUCAACAUCUUACAUUUUGUGAUACACAGAGCCCAGAAGACUGGGUGAAGAAGAAGAAGAAUGAACACUUUAAAACGUCGUCAUAAUUUUUUCUGCUUUUAAUAUAAUUGGACAAAAAAAACAGGGCAAAGCUUGGGUAUCAAAUUGAAUUUGGCUAAAAAAGAGAGUGCAGAACUAAUGUUACAAACUUAUUACACUUGCUAAAGGCAACACAAGACUAUUUUAUUGAGCAAAUCAUUAAAAAUAUUCUAAAUGCUCCGCCAAGGUGGUAAUUUAUAGACAAUUUGUUAAGUGAUAGUUCUCAUGUUGUGAAGCACUUGAUAAGCUGCUUGCUAUUAAUUUAGUUACAAGUCACAUUGUAUUGCUGAAGCAAUAGAAGUUGCUACAUAUGUUAAAUGUUAUUUGUCACAUAUGAAAUUAUGUUUUUAAUACUAUGUGAAGACAUGAUAACUUUGUUAAAUACUUGUAAAUUGUAAUUUUACAUAGAUUGUUUUCAUUCUUAAGUUAAGAUUGUUGGAAGGACUAAUUCUUGCUUGUUAUAGGGAUUUUGCACCUAAGUCUGACAUCAUAGAAGGACCAUUCUUGCAUCAGAUUGGAUAGUGCACCUGAGUCUGACAUCGUAGAAUGACCAUUUUUGCAUCGAAUUGUAAGUAUUUAAUUUCUUUAUCGUUUUCAUAAAUAAAUUUUGUGAUGAUUUCACAAAUUGAUCUCCAAAAUUGCAUUUAUAUGUUCGAAGGACUAGUUUUUGCUUGUUUUAGGGAUUUUGUACCUGAUUCUGACAUCGUAGAAGGGCCAUUCUUUUAUAAGUAUUUAAUUUCUUUAACGUUUUCAUAACUAAUUUUUGGGAUUAGCUCUUGAAUUAGUGACGAAAAUUGCAUUUUUGUGUUGCAAAUGACUACUUUUUGCUUCUUUUAGGUGUUCUGCACCCGAGCCCGAUAUCGUAGGAGAACCAUUCUUGUAUCAGAUUGUAAGUAUUUAAUUUCUUAAUCAUUUUCAAACAUAACUUUUAUGAAUAACUUACGAAUUAGCGAGAAAAAUUUACUUUUUGUAUUUCGAAGCUCUGAUUUUGCUGGUUUUCGGGGUUUAGCACAUGAACGCGUCAUCCGCGUAAUAUCAGCGUUCGUUUUAUUAAAAAAGAAAGAAGAAUAUACUGUUAAAUAUAAUUAAUAAAACAUAAUUUAAAAUUUC